AGCAGCCGCGGUAAUUCCAGCUCCAAUAGCGUAUAUUAAAGUUGUUGCAGUUAAAAAGCUCGUAGUUGAAUUUCGGGAUUGACGUGAUAGUCAUGUCUUAAGGGGUAUGAACUGUUACAGUUGAUUUCUCACCUUCUGGAGAAACUUGAUGUCCUUUAUUGGGUGUCUUGCGGAUCCAGGACCUUUACCUUGAAAAAAUUAGAGUGUUUAAAGCAGGCAUUUUUGCUCGAAUACAUUAGCAUGGAAUAAUAGAAUAGGACGGCAUGGUUCUAUUUUGUUGGUUUCUAGGAUCACCGUAAUGAUUAAUAGGGAUAGUUGGGGGCAUUAGUAUUCAAUUGUCAGAGGUGAAAUUCUUGGAUUUUAUUGAAGACUAACUACUGCGAAAGCAUUUGCCAAGGAUGUUUUCAUUAAUCAAGAACGAAAGUUAGGGGAUCGAAGACGAUCAGAUACCGUCGUAGUCUUAACCAUAAACUA
rnacentral:rRNA from 1 species